UACGUAGGGUGCAAGCGUUGUCCGGAAUUAUUGGGCGUAAAGAGCUCGUAGGCGGUUUGUCGCGUCUGCUGUGAAAACUCGGGGCUUAACCCCGGGCCUGCAGUGGGUACGGGCAGACUAGAGUGCGGUAGGGGAGACUGGAAUUCCUGGUGUAGCGGUGAAAUGCGCAGAUAUCAGGAGUAACACCGGUGGCGAAGGCGGGUCUCUGGGCCGUAACUGACGCUGAGGAGCGAAAGCGUGGGGAGCGAACAGG
rnacentral:rRNA from 1 species